rnacentral:lncRNA from 1 species
UUUCGCCCAUCUUUUUCUCGUUACGCUACUCUCAACGAGAUCUUCGAUUCUCGUUUAGGUCGUGUCGGCUAAAAACCGCUCGAUCUAAUAUUCGAAUUUCGGGCUGUACACUGCUAUUCCGAAACUUCGAAAAAUCAUAACUUCUUCAUACGAAGUCAGAUUUGGGCGUUCUUUUUAUCGAUGUUCUUAGUUUAACAUAUUCUACGACUUCCGUUUAGAUCGCUAAGGCUAAAUCUCGCUCUAUCGUAAAUUCACUAUUUACGCUUCCCGGUGCCGUGCCGGUUUUGCCGUAAAACUUCGACGGGCCAUAACUUCUUCGUUAUAACUCGGAUUUCGGCGUUCCUUAUAUGUACGGAAACCUUGUGACAUACUCUACAACUUGGUUAAGAUUAUUUAUUCUAAAUAAUCUUUUGUCGAAAAGUCGUUUUCGACCCCUAUUGCCUCUAAUUUGACUAGCCCGGAUUUGCGGGCGUUACAAUUAUCUCCCCCUUAGGAUGAUUACGUCCCGGAAUCAUCAACGAAACAGGGUUGUAUAAUGACUCCAUACGUCAUCUCUUCAUCCUAGGUAAUAAUUAUAACUUCUACAUUCCUUCAAGUCUAUCUCUUAAACUCAUUGACUGUAAGAGUACUCGAUCGUGCACCUGCUCUCUACCUCAGGUUAGACUCCAAAUUAUGACCUUCAAGUCACAAUCUCGAUCCUUGCUGGAUACGGACUUGAGAUAAGUUCUUUUAUUACUACUAUAGAUCGAUGUGUCAUAUUCUAAUGACCUAUCAUCGUAUGUUGCAACACUUAGACUUAGGUCUCUUAGAGUUAAAUUCUAAAACAGACUAUGCCUUCCUUCAUGUUCUAAUGUGAUAUAAUCACACUUUAACAUUAGGCAUUUCUAGCCACCAACUUCUUUAACAACGAGUGCGAUACUUCUAUUGAUCGCUUUGAUUUCAACCGUUUGGUUUAAGUCGGACGCUACAUCAAACUUGGUUCUCUGAACCACACAACAUACUCAUCGUAGUCGGACUCGAUUCGAUAUGACCACUAGGGUCGGAAUAUCAACAAUCUUCUUAGUCAUUACCGAAACGAUGGUAACAACACACUUGAAUAAAACGAAAUCAAUUACUAGCUUCUUGGUAACCUUGUGACUUUCCCUGAUCCAAGUGUGAGUCCUGUGCUUCCGGUAGUAUAGGCCUCUACUACCAUUCACACCUACUCAUACUCGUCCCAAGUAUUGUCUCGCAGUUUCCCAAGUCACCAUGCAGCAAAUCACACAAUCAUUCGACACAUCAGAUAACAAAACGAAGGUUUUAUAUUAAUUCUUGAAACGAUUACAUAGGUGUUCAAGUUCACCCUAGACUAUGCCUCUACUAGGCUACAUCAUACGAAACUAUGGCUACUGCAUAAUCCGAUCUUCGGGUAAGAAGUCCUCAUUCUUGAUUCCUCGCAUGGUUCUCUGCUUCGUCAAGGAUCAUGUGAAAUGCCCUUGGCCUUGGUGGCGUUUCUGGUCUUGCUGCUUUAUUUUUCCUUGGGCAGUCUCUGGACAUGUGCCCCUUGCCUCCACAUCCGUAGCAUACUUUGUCAUUAUGUGUGCAGUCUUUGGAAUAGUGACCCGUCCUCCCACACUUGUAACAAGUCACUUCUUCGUUGCACUUCCCACCAUGCUUCUUCUUGCAUUUAUCACACCAUCUUGUUUCACCUCCAUCUGCUCCUCCGAGUUUUGAGAAUUUGCUUUCCUUGUUCGACCUCGAAGAUCCCUCAAACUUUCGCUUCUCUCCUGCCUUAUCUUUUUCUAGACCCUUUUCUCUUAUCUGGGCCUCUACGUUCUUAGCUGCCCUAACAGCUGCUUUCAAGGUAGUUGCCAUUUUGACCAUUGGACCAAAGUCAGUGGGCAGUCCGUUAGCAAACCUAUCAAUCUUGGAGAGUUCAGUAGGCACCAAGUAGGGAAAUAGCUUCAUCCUCUCGGUAAAUGCGGUGGCAUACUCAUCAACACUCAUCUUCCCUUUCUUCAGGUUCUGAAACUCGUUGUUUAGGUCUAUCAGAUCUACCUCCGAGCAGUACUGCAUUUUCAACUGUUCCAAAAACUCUUCCCACGACAUCCUUAAGGCUUCUCCUCGUGGCAUCGUAUCUGCCAAUAGCUUCCACCAGCUCAAGACUCCAGUUUUCAGCUGUCUUACUGCAAAGACAGUCUUCUGUUUCUCAUUACAGCUGCAGCUCUCAAACACCAUCUCCAUCUCAGAGAUCCAAUCCAUAAUCUCAACCGGCUUUGGGCUUCCUGAGAGGCUUGGUGGUUUCGCACCCAAGAAGUUCUUGUACAUCCGCCCAUCCUUGUUGUUUCUCCCUUCUGGGCCAUCCCUUUGCUCACCUUGAGUCCCAACUUGACUCACUUGGCGGCUGUAGUUCCCUUCCUCAGAUUGCUCGGGAAUCAGUUCGGGUUGCUCAAUGGGCAUAGUAGGUUCGUCCCUAUUCAACAUCCGUCUCAUUUCUUCCCUUUGUUCAGCCAACAUAGCCCGAAUCAUGGCUUGAACUCCAGCCAUGGUGACUGGCUCAGGCGCAACUUCUUCUACAACAGGUAUUUGCUGAACCACUGGGGGUUGGUUCCUGUUCCCAUUUGCGUUUACGUUUCCGCUACGGGUCCUUACCAUCUCGAUCUAUACACCGAAUAAGGUGAAUUUAGACCUUUACUUGACGUUUAAAUCAUCCUUAUCACUCCGAAACAUUUACAUGCUAGUUCUAAUACCGUAGUCGUACGUUUAGAAUCCUAAACACAUAAGGUUUCCAGAUCCGGUCGGCAACAGACCAUAGAUCCGAACAAUUAACAACAUAUCAUGCACAAAGCAUUUAGCACAUAAAAGCAUUUUAGGCACAAUUCCUAAAAUAAGCUAGUGCUCACACCUCACAAUCAUCGCUUAGCAUUCUAAGUUUAAGUCUAGAAAUAAAUCCAUAUUCCUAGUUCGCUUAAACUAAUGCUCUGAUACCAACUGUGACAUCCCCAAAAUCACGGCCAGAAAAGACCGAUUUUGUUUAUGCUUUAUAAAAAUCAGAGUACUUCAUUUUAUAAAAAGGUUGCGGAAUUUGUUCCCAGAAAAACAUGGUAAAUACGUUAUUAAAACAUUUUCGAAGAAACGUAUUUAUUUCAUUUUAAAAUGUUUGGGAUGUCAUCGUUAAUACCGAAACAUAAGCAUAAACAGACUUACAAUGAUUUACACUAGUGAUCUACAUCUCUUUUAAAUCUCUCAGUGUAAUGUCACUUCACUUCGUCACCUGUGAUAUACAUAAACUGAGUGGGUCAGGUUGGGAAACCUGGUGAGUACAUAGGGUUUUCAACCCACAAUAAUAUAAUUAUUAUGUUCAAUCAAACAAUCAACCCAAUUACCCAUCCCCAUUAUCUUCUUUACUCUUUAAGGAUUUAACCUAAGAGUCAUCUAUCCUGCAUUCGUUUAUUCCGAAGUCCCUUACUUCCAGGGUUAUGGGACUGGCACUAAAUCCAUAGCUGCCAAUGUUCGUUCAUAAAGCACUAAUUCCAUAGCUGCUAUAGUCUAUUCAUCGGGUACUAAAUCCAUAGCUACCAGUCUUUAUCUAAUAGGUACUAAGUCCAUAGCUACCAAUGUUCAACAGGUACUAAGUCCAUAGCUACCAAUUCCUACAGGUACUAAAUCCUUAGCUACCAGCGUCUAACUAAUAGGUACUAAGUCCAUAGCUACCAAUUCCCAACAGGUACUAAAUCCAUAGCUACCAACGUCUAAAAGGUACUAAGUCCAUAGCUACCGGUGUUUGUCCCAUAGGCACUAAGUCUAUAGCUGCCAAUGUAUACUCACGUCAUCUUCUAUCUCUCAUCAUUCAUCUACCCAUCUCAUACCCAACAUUUUCGUAUAUAUAAAAUACGUAUACAGUUUAAGUCCUUUAAAACAUGUAUAAAACGUUCAACCAGCAUAGACAGCAAGUAUUCAGAUAAUGUGCACACAUAGCACGUAGUUUAUAUAAAAUACUUCAUAUCUAUGUGUAAGAUGAAAGGGACUAUGCACUCACCUGAAAGGUGGUGAGUCGGCACUCGGACAGCACUUCGUUACUCUUAAAACAAUUAUCCCUUGACGAAACCUAGUAUCAUUACCACUAGAGUUUAGUCUAACGCUUGACGAGACUAAUUUAAUAGUCUAGCUAUUAUUACUAUUAUAUAAGCGUUAAAUAACACUCAAUAUAACUCAUAAUAAUAGCCCAAAUAAUUAUUUUAAGGACCUAAUAACAUUACUAUAAUUAUUUGGAAGCUAUAUUAAAAAUUGCGUAAGCAUAGCUCACUUACAACGAAUUUUAUCGAAAACCGGAACUUUAUUUGGAGCAGCGUCUCGAAACCGAAAGACACUUUUUCUCGGGACUCCGGGAGCCUCGGGGCUUCCUUGGUGCUAGGUAUUUUUCCUAGGGCUUAGGGGUGGUUUGGGAAGCUAGAGAGAGAAAGAAAUUAGAGAGAGAAAGGAUUUUGGUGUGAAAAAUGCGAGCAGCCUCGGCCUCCUUUUAUAGCCGCGAGGGCCUCGCUACGCUGAGCAUUCAGAAGCUCUACGCGGGGCGUAGCUUCGGAUAAGGCAGACAGGUGGCAAGCUUCGGACGGGGCGACGUGGCUCAAGCUAGACCGAGGAGUGCAAGGCGUACGCGGCGCGUACUCGAGCUCGGACGUUGGGCGUAAUGCGAGGGUGGCGUGUCACUCAUCCAAAGCGAGUUCAUCGGACGGCUGGGAGCUAGGCCACGUCAUCAAUCCUUGCAUCAGUUUCGCAAAUCUCACCCUCAACUUCUAAAAAUCGUAACUUUCGCAUACGUGCUCCGUUUUAGACGUUCUUUAUAUCCACGCGAAGGUGGGAACGUACUCUACAACUUUCAUUUAGACUCCAUCGGAUAAUUUUGACUCGAUUUUAAAUUUUAUAUUAUUAACAGGCCGGGACAGGAUUGGUCCGUUAAAUUCUCAUAACUUCUUCAUCCGACGUCCCUUUUCGCCCAUCUUUUUCUCGUUACGCUACUCUUAUCGAGAUCUUCGAUUCUCGUUUAGGUCGUGUCGGCUAAAAAUCACUCGAUCUAAUAUUCGAAUUUCGGGUUGUACACCGCUAAUCCGAAACUUCGAAAAAUCAUAACUUCUUCAUACGAAGUCAGAUUUGGGCGUUCUUUUUAUCGAUGUUCUUAGUUUAACAUAGUAUACGAUCUUCGUUAUAUCGCUAAGGCUAAAACUUGCUCUAUUCUAAAUUCACUACUUACGCUUCCCGGUGCCGUACCGGUUCCGUCGCGAACCUUCGACGGGUCAUAACUUCUUCGUUAUAACUCGGAUUUCGGCGCUCUUUAUAUGUACGGAAACCUUGUAACAUAUACUAAAACUUGGUUAAGAUUAUUUAUUCUAAAUAAUCUUUUGCUGAAAAGUCAUUUUCGACCCCUAUUGUCUCUAAAUUGACUAGCCCGGAUCUACGGGCGUUACAGAGGUACGUUGGGUAAAGGAUUACAAAGGAGAUUGGUCUCAUCAUGAAGUAAAAUUCUCGAGAAUUUCACACAACCGAGAUCCAUAAACCGAGGAGGAGGUUCUUGGUCCUAGUGACCACCGAGAUCAAGAGGGACUUCGAUCCUAAGGAGACCGAAAUCCGGGGGUUUUCACAUGAGGUUUUCGGUCCGAGUGAGAGGGUUCUCUGUUGCGAGUCUUCUCGGCCCAAUCUUGAGUGUUUCAACUACCAUUGGAGAUUUUGAACUUCUUAAUCCAAGCUUAAACAACCUUCAUGCAAAUUGUAAUUUCUAGAAAUUU